rnacentral:tRNA from 2 species
AGCUCUGAGGUGUAGUACACAUCAGAUUGCAAAUCUGAAGAAGCAGGCAAACACCUGCCAGAGCUU